GACAAUGCCACUCGUCCUCACUUUAGCUUCAAGCUCGCCCUUGGGCUUCCAAGGCUCGACCCUCUUGGCUUCUCCUUGUCCCAAGGCUCGCCCCUCUCGGCAUCUCCUCGCCUCAAGGUUCGCCCCUCUCGGCAUCUCCCUUACAAAGUGUCACGGUAGCACUACUCCUAAGCGCGGCUCGUGACACGAAGCAAGGAUCAACUGUCAGAUAUGAAGAUUUCGGUGAUAACAGCUAUAGAUGUGAGCAUUGUGGUGCACGAUUCGGGCGUGGAGAAGCUGUUAAACGACCAUCCUCUAAUGCAUCCAUGACUUAUACAAAUUGUUGCAGAAAAGGCGAAAUCAAACUUGAACAAGCAAAGCCAACACCGUUAUUUCUUGAUAAUCUAUUAAAUCCAGAUAAUAGCCCAGAAAGCAGAUUAUUUAGAGAAAAUAUAAGAGUUUAUAAUUCAAUGUUUUCCUUUACAUCGAUGGGAGCAUGUAUUGAUCAUAAAAUAAAUACUGGAUCAGGUCCUUACGUUUUUAAAA